AGUUUGUUAAUAGGAUGGCGGCUGGCGGCAGGGGAAGCGGCGGCUGGCGGCAGGGGAAGCGGCGGCUGGCGGCAGGGAAAGCGGCAGUGGUCGACGAGCGUCAGGAACGACAACGCAGACAAAGGUUGGUGGUGGCGACAGCGGGAGGAACGGCAGCGGCACGGGGCAGGAGGAACGGCAGCGGCACGGGGCAGGAGGAACGGCAGCGGCACGGGGCAGGAGGAACGGCAGCGGCACGGGGCGGGGAAGGAAGUGGCUACAGCGAGCGCCGUCACCACUAGUGUUGCUGCGUGUGUUGCUGACGAGCGACAUCGUAGGAGGUGGAGGCACCGGUGGAGGCAGCCGUGGAGGUGAAAACGACUAAGGCCACCAAUAAUAGUGUUGGUACAGAUUGAGAGCAGUGGUGGGGCAACGCCAUCGAUGUGGAGCAGCGGGGUCGAUGACAGGCCACGGAUGUGAUGGGGACGACAACGAUGAUAACGGACGUAGGAAGGGCGACAGCGACCUCGGCAGCGGCUGUGGCAGGGACGACUACUACCACUAGUGUUGCUUGCUGCAUGGCGCUAAACUGGUUAGUGGUGGCUGCUUGGACGAGGACGACAACGGCGGCAGGGGCGAGGACGACUGAGGCGAGGAACGACAACCACCACUACUCCCGUUGGUGCUACAUGCAGCACAGCUAGUUAGUGUGGCGUUGGCGACGACGGAUGGGGCGGCGUUAGCGAUGACGGAUGGGGUGGCGCUAGCGACGACAGGUGGGGAGACGUUGGCGACGAGAGAUGGGGGGGCUUUAGAAUCCGGAACGACGACUUGACCCACCACUAGACACGUUACCGGAAGUUCGCUAUAUGGUUAGAGAAGCUAUCAUUUAGAGCAUUGGAAAGCUGUCCGCCAGAAACCCGCACUGGAGAGAGGAACUGACUCGAAAAAUAGCCUGCCCUGGACCAGUGCCAAGUCCUAAGUUUUGACUUUAGCCUGCAGAUUAAUACACAUGUACAGCAGAUGGGUGUGUUUAUUGAUGAAUCGUUUCGGCUACACAGUAGGCAUCUUUAGUCAAAUAUAGAGGCAGCAGAGGCCUACUAUGUAGGCUAUCCGCUUCAUCAAUAAAGAAACCCAAAUCUUGCACGUUUUAAUCUUCAACUUGGUAUUUGCUACCAUUUUCAACAUGACUUGAGGAUGGUCUAAGCCGGACCGAAACAUCGUCAGGUCGUUCCUCUCUUAAAUACGAGUUUUUUUGGUGGAUUGUCCCACGGUAUUGACAUUUUACUGCUCAUAAAACAAUAGUGGUAACAUUUAUUAACCUCGUAAAUUUAGCUUCCUAAUUAGGUAUCUCCAGAAAUGAGGUACCUGCAGUAACAAAGAUUUUUUUCAGUAGGUAUUUACUUUUUUGUGGGGUGACUUUUAAAAACUGCCUCUUGUGAUUGAUUUCAAACCCUCAAUGCUGGUGUAUCUUAAACAGAUUGGUAUUAUACUUCAGAUGAGUUCCACUCAAACUGCAUAUUAGGUUUAAAUGUGGCUGGUAUAAGUGUACGAGAACACAAAUGUAGUGUAUCGGAUAUCCGCAUCCGCCAAACAUCCGCACAUUUUCUUACAUCCGCAUCUGUGUUUUAUGUAAAUGGAUAUCCGCAUCCGCCAAACAUCCGCACAUUUUCUUACAUCCGCAUCUGUGUUUUAUGUAAAUGGAUAUCCGCAUCCGCCAAACAUCCGCACAUUUUCUUACAUCCGCAUCUGUGUUUUAUGUAAAUGGAUAUCCGCAUCCGCCAAACAUCCACACAUUUUCUUACAUCCGCAUCUGUGUUUUAUGUAAAUGGAUAUCCGCAUCCGCCAAACAUCCGCACAUUUUCUUACAUCCGCAUCUGUGUUUUAUGUAAAUGGAUAUCCGCAUCUGCCAAACAUCCACACAUUUUCUUACAUCCGCAAAAAUAAGUAAGACAUCCUCAUACACAUCCGCAUCCGCGGAUAUCUAAAUUUUUCACAUCCGAUACAUAUCUAGUACAUGUCGCAGUUUAACUUGGGUCAUGUCACGUGCGUUUGUACCCGCACGUGACAUGACCCAAGUUACAUUGUGACCUCUGGUCACUGACAUGCCAGGCUUUUAUUGCAGCUAGUGUUAAUGUUUUUUAAAAAUGUUUAAUGUUUCUAGGAUUAAUGUUUAA